AUUGAACGCUGGCGGCAUGCUUUACACAUGCAAGUCGAACGGUAACAGGCCGCAAGGUGCUGACGAGUGGCGAACGGGUGAGUAAUGCAUCGGAACGUGCCCAGUCGUGGGGGAUAACGCAGCGAAAGCUGCGCUAAUACCGCAUACGAUCUAUGGAUGAAAGCGGGGGACCGUAAGGCCUCGCGCGAUUGGAGCGGCCGAUGUCAGAUUAGGUAGUUGGUGGGGUGAAGGCUCACCAAGCCAACGAUCUGUAGCUGGUCUGAGAGGACGACCAGCCACACUGGGACUGCGACACGGCCCAGACUCCUACGGGAGGCAGCAGUGGGGAAUUUUGGACAAUGGGCGCAAGCCUGAUCCAGCAAUGCCGCGUGCAGGAAGAAGGCCUUCGGGUUGUAAACUGCUUUUGUACGGAACGAAACGGCUCUGGUUAAUACCUGGGGCUAAUGACGGUACCGUAAGAAUAAGCACCGGCUAACUACGUGCCAGCCGCCGCCGUAAUAC
rnacentral:rRNA from 1 species